AACUGUAAAAAAAUAAAGAGAGCUACAUGCGGGCAUCCUCAUAAUAGAAUUCAGAUUCGAUGGUAUUCACAUUGGUUAAAGCAAACAAAGGCAGUCUGCAACAUUUGGCAGACAACAAAUAGAUACCAACAGAGACGUUAGAAACAAUCAAGGCAACUGAAUGCAAGACAACCCACAAUUGAAAUGAUACAAUUUUUACAUGCAAUUUUUACUAAAAUCAAAAAUCAAUCAUAUAAAUAUCUACUAGUGUUAAAAUACGAAUCAGUUAGUUCAUAGAAGGAACUUAGUUAAGAUAUUAAAACUAAUUUAUACCAAUUUGAUGACAUGUUUGUAGGACUUUAACACAACGUAUCAACCAACUCAUCCUUCCUUUUCAAAAACCUUACAACUGUCUCCAGAAAAUACCGGAUGUAACUACAGGGAAAUAACAGAAAAUGUUCUCGCGAACCUUUUGAAUUGUACUAUCAGACUAUGCAUAUACACUGCCAAACUAUCUGGAUGUUUUUUUUUUUUUUUUUGAGAAAACUAUCUGGAUGUAUUGCUAACAAGAAUUGUGUGUUAGCUAUCUGCCAACCUACUUUAAGGACAGUUUUUAUUUAUAAUAUCCUUUAUUAAUAGUUCAGUUAUAUCAUUAUGUUAUUCACUUCAAAUACGUUCCAUAGUUCCCACUUAUGCAUCUAUACCGCAAUCAAGUAAGGGCAAUGGGAUCAAAUAGGACCUAAUUCUACAGUACAUCUUUGAUCUUCCUUCUUUAGUAAGGGUAAGUCCUGUCCCCUAUUCACCAUUAAUAUGAAGUUCUUCAAGGAGCAGGAUUGAGAUCUAAACCAUGUAAUUGUUCUGAUCAAGCCCUAUAUUUGGGUUUCCAUUCGUUGCCAACACUUGUUCCUCACACUUGCAGACUUGCUUUACGGUCAUUCUUUGUAACCAUUCUCACCACUACAAGAAUGCUUACUAAAUAAUUCACAGAAAACUACGGAAAGGAGGAUAUGCACGGUCCGAAGAUCCCAAUAGUUUGGUCAUUCCUAGGCAAUCAUACACUUAGCGAAAAAAAAAGCAUCAAGAAAAAAGAGAGUCAUGCUACAUGCUAAUAAGCGACAGUGUAGAAGUACAAUUAGCAGGCUUAGCCCAAUCCAUGUAAGGGUAUAGGCAGCAAUUCUACAAAACCCUUCUUCUUCAUAUAUUAUUAUUAAAACUUUCUGUGUGUUGAAAGAAUCCUUUUUCUAACUUACAUGUUGCACCCUGAAUCUGUCUAAUAUAAGUAACAAAACAGCCGACAUAGAAAUCCUAUUUGGAAAUCAAACUAGCAAACGAAUAAGAACUAAGCUUCCAAACGAUCCUAGGCGUACAACAAUACAGUACAGAGGGUCGUCUAAGAGAAGUAUAUGACAGAGUUGUGCAAAAUCUCACGAUCCUGGAACCGGCAUCCGGUUGAACAACAGCAAAGAGGCAUUAGAUCAAUCUGAGCAGAAACAAUACUCUUUUUUCUUGUGUUCGUUUUCAUUUUCAUUUAAAAAAGACUAAACAGUAGCCAGCAAGCACCAAAAAAAAAAAAAGGAAGCUAAAUACGUAUAUAUAUAUAUAUUUAGAUCGGCGGGCAGAAUAUCAUCGACAAUAUACAGAGCUGCAACUAGAAUGAAUGAAAUCAAUCAUUCAUGCCACCUGUAGUAUUUGUAUGAAAUAUGGACUAGUAAUAAAAGCAUCGUGGGGAGAAGCAACUGCAAACGGACGGACGGACGGAAGGGGCGAAUUGAUGAUUAUUACGGAACUAUGAGAGGGGAAGGAGGAAAAAAAAAAAAAGAAAGGAAGGAAUUGUUUCGGAGAUUAUCAAAAGGGCUGGAGGACGGGCCUCUUGCCGAGGCGCUUGAUCUCCCUGUCCAUGCGGCCGGAGAGCAUGAGGGCGAACAUCUUGAAGUCGCAGAGGAGGGACCAGAGGGGGUGGCCGAAGGUGGCGGGGGCGUUGCGCUCGACGAAGAAGUGGCUGUACCAGGCCAGGCCGUAGCCCAGCAGGGGCCCCAGCAGGAGCAGCCAGAGCCGCCCCCACAGCACCGACCCCGCCACGCACACCACCCCGCACAGCGUCCCCGCGAAGUGCCACCGCCGCGUCGACGCCUUCGAGUGCUGGCUCACGUAGAACGCCCAGAACUCCUCCAGGUUCCGGAAAUUCAUGCCUUCUCUUCUUCUUCUUCUUCUUCUUCUUCUUUUUCUUUUUUCCCCUCUCUAUCAGAUCCGAACCGAUUUCUGUCCUCCCUCCCUAACUCCUAAUCAGCGCAAUUCCCGACUUCUUCCGCUGGCUCGAACCUAGUCGGGAAAUCGUCAGUCGUCGGAGGAGGACAAAGGCUUAGGCUGGAGGAAAAGGCAGAAAAGGAAUAAAAAACAAUGGGCCGGUAAGGCCGAGGGAAAGACUGUCGCCUGAACCUGGUCCACCACAGACCUAUCGACAAAAUAGUAGCACUUUAAAAAAAAAAAAAAAAAAACAGCGUCGAUAAUUAUGAGGUCACUAUGAUGAUGAUGAUGGCAAUUAUUAUUAUUAUUAUUCUAUUUUUUUAUUAUUAUAUUAUUUAAUAUUAAUGGAUUGUAAAAGAUUUUUUGGUUUUUCAAAAUCACGACCCGGCCGUUUUUGUGUGGUGGUGAACGCGGUCCAGCAAUUAUUCUCGCCGGUGAAGGGCAGGUUAGCCGGGACUCGGGAGGAUAGAUGAGUCUUCUUGCGGCCGCGGUCAUUUGACGAAGCUCAGUUCCAAGCACCGGACUCAAUUUGAGCGAGUAUCCACGGGAUGACCGGCUCGGUUGAUUUGACGCGGUGCAUCGGGCGCAGCUCAAAAAUCAUGAUCUUGUGAGCUCUUCAGCUUGAUGCAACAAACCUUCCAUAGACAAUACAUCCAUAUGGGUGAGAUAAAGCUCUUACUUCGGAGACAAAGCUGCUAAUGUUACUAAUAACAUAUAUUUUAUUUAUUGCGUGAAUAAUAGCAAACUGAGCAAACGUCGCUAAUUCAGUAAAGAUGCAAUUUGAGAAAUUGCUUAGGCCCGGUCCGUAUCGAAGAAGAAUGUUUCUGUAAUCCUCUUGCUUUACUACUUUUUUGGGCCAAAAAAUAAUUAUGUAAGAGAGAAGUUCGUUCUCUGUUCGAGAUCAAUGGGCCGGGCUAAACAUUCCGGUCUCGUAUGUGGCCCAACCCCGGCGAGCGAAUAAACCGAGUUUAAUAGCGCUUCGGAAUCCGUCCCUCCAGAAGCUUCUCCUCGCCACGCCGCAUAUAUAACGUCCUCUAUUCGGCCUUCCCAACUGCACGAGUAGAUACGGCAAAGCCUUUGAGGCGGUGCAAGAGAAGCGAACGAGAGAGCGGCCAUUCGACUUCCUCAAGGUAUGCCUUUUUAAUUCUACCUUUUUCACCAUCUUCUUAUUAGCGGCUUUCAAGACGAUCUGGAAAUUUCCGGACGCCAUAUUUCCUGCGGGAUUUCGUAAGCUUGAAGCAGUGAUCUCCAACGUUGUGCUUUUAUCGGAUUCAUUGAGUAUUUUAAGGUGAAGAUCCGUAGGCUUUUGUAAUUUUGUAUACACUAAGUGGUUGUUGCUGAAGAAGAUGAUACAGCAAUCUAGAGGAACAGUGGUUGUUGUUCACUGUUAUUUGUUGACUACCAAUCUGGCUCGUCUCGAUCGAUUAGAUAGGAGCAUUGAAAUAUCUGUACCUGUGAUGUCUUAGACAAACGUCUGUUUUAUUAGUUUACCUCGUUUUCUUCUCUUUUUUUUUUUAGUUUCUUUUGUUGUACAUUAUUCUAUGUGAUUCAACCCCUACUGCAGUCUGUUGGCUCAAUAUUUUUCUUCCGCAAAUCUUCUAACUAAUAUCAUAUAAUUUUGCGAGGAACGAUUAUUAUAUGUUUCAUAUAUUCGAAGCUAUUAGCCAUUGGAAUUUAAAGGGCUGAAAAGUCCUGGAGUUUCAGUACGAAAGAGGGGUGCAAAAAGCAGAUGAAGUUUCAAAGUAACAAGUUACCAAUGAAAGUAUGAUAAUUAUCAAAUGGCACUACGCUUUAAUAUUUAGCUAUUAUUAUAAUAAGUCAGAACAAAGCAUACUAGCGGAAAAAGAGAAAAUAACACUGCAUGUAAUAUCUUUAACAGUUAUUGUUGCACAAGCAUGCUCUCUCUGUAAAUCAUCGUGCAAUAUAAAGACAUUGUAUAUUUAUUAUUUUUUAUAAACUGUUCUCAUUUUUAUUGAAUAUGUGUCGAGUGUUUUGGAUGUAUUCUGCAAUAGUUAACUAAUACUGAGAUUGCGUGUCAUCAUAUGAUUAGUUCGGGACUGUAGUAGGCUUAGUUGCCUAUAUUUAUUAGAUUGUUUUCCAUUCCUGUACUUUUAGAUUUGAUUUAAUUCACAGGAACAGUAGGCCAAUUCCCUUUGCCCAAGGGAUGGUUUGUCAAAAAGGGGAAGAAAAAGGAACAACACUUUUUAAUUCUUAUCUGUACAUGAUAGAGAUGAUAAUUUGGAUUGUGGGUCACAGUGUGUUCUCCCAUCCGGUAUCGGGUGAACUCGAGAAUUGUUCCUUAACAUUGACAACGGGACUUCAAUUAUGUAGACAAAUAAUUUGUAUGAUAAUUGUUUUCGAGUUCCCGUUGUGGGUUGACUUCUGGUUUCUUAUAGUAAUUUUGGGUCUUGUUUGAAUUAUGAGUACUAAUGGAAGACCUAUACAUGUACCAAAAAACUAUCAAUUAUUUGUGGCGGGCCAUUAGUGCCUUUGAGGCUUGCAAUGAUGGUGUGAAUCAUACUUGCAUCUGGUACCUGAGCUGAGGCACGCACCUCUACGAGGCACUUCUCAGAGAUAAUACAAGGCCUUGUGCCUAGGCACCAAGGUGUGUCUUUUCACACUGUGUACGCUAUUACAAAACACAAGUUAACUUUGAUGUCAACAAAUCUUGUUCAUAGAGUGGUAAAAUCCAAAAUAAAAUGUUAUAUUUUCUAAUUCAAAGUAGAGAGGUGCUUCAGUUUGGACAUCAUGGGAAGAUGUCGUUAGAGUAUCUGGGUUUCACUAGUUGUUGAAGACUUCGGUUAGGAAUAUAUUUUUUGGAGUCUCUACUCUCUAUUAUGUAGUGCGAAGAUGUUGAUUGAAGAUGUUUUCUUUCUUCCAAUUGACGAGUUCUAUUUCUUGUUUGUUGUUGCGUAAUCGUGUAUUAAUUGUUGUGCGAUAUGCCGUUGUCUGUCUUUUUGUUUAUAGUUAAGCUUUUUCAUGUUUACCUUAUGUACUACUCCCUCAACUAAAGCUGCACUCUAUAUCUUGUCCUUUAACUUGCUAUAUUGAAAAUUAGUUGUAAGCUUUCUGUCUGUUAAUUCUCAUUAUCUUAGUAGUUUCUAAUUGUUAAUCUUGUUUCUCUGUGACAGAUGCCUUGCUCGAGAAAAUCAAGGUUAGCAUUUAUUUAUAUUCGCUACUUUUGAUUAAUUUUGUUGAACUUCUACCGAUUGUGCUUAUGGCGUCAUGUUGUGUAACUUAUUAUUUCAAGUACACAGGUAUUCCUCCCACUCCCGCUCUUAUUCACCAUAUCGUUUCAGCAGGUCAGUUUCCCAGUCUUUUUCAAGGUCAAGGAGCCGCUCGAGGUACUUUUGCUACCACGCUGUGCUUUGAAGGUUGGGUCAUUUUCUAACAGUACUUUUAUAUAAAUGGUUGUUGAUGAAAUUUGCUUUCAAUUGUUUUGGUAGAAGUAGGGAUUCAAGUGAUGCAGAAAAUCCUGGCAACAACUUGUAUGUGACUGGUUUGUCACCUCGAAUUACAAAGGAUGACUUGGAAAAGCACUUUGCAACUGAAGGAAAGGUACAGUUUUCGUAUGCUUCUAUAGUCUUUCAAGGCUGGACUUUAAAUGUUUCCUUUGAUGGAUCUUCCUUCCGACAUCGACAGGUGGUUGAUAUUCACCUAGUACUCGAUCCUUGGACAAGGGAAUCACGUGGUUUUGGAUUUGUUACAAUGGCCAGGAUAGAAGAUGCAGACCGGUGCAUCAAGUAUCUGGACCGAUCAGUCUUAGAAGGACGGGUUAUUACUGUUGAAAAGGUAAACAAAUAGGUGACAAUCUUUUUUGUCUUUUGCAGAGCUUUGGCUGUCUGUUGUUGCUACGUAUAAGCAAUUUAUUCAUAUUUAAGCUGAUGUGUCUGAGGGUUGCGAGAUUUUCUUUUUCGAUUGAGGUUUUUUUCACAGCAGGAUAGAUGUCAGUAAGCUGCUCUUCAUCAAACUUCAAAAGCAUUACCACAACAUUAACAACUCAAAUCACACUACCUCAAGCAAAUACCAGACUUUAUAACCAAGGGUUGUAUGCCCUGCAUUACUGUUCUUUUUUAUAUUCGCUCUCGAAUGCAGAAUCUCAAUUUUGUUUUCCACAGGGUUUGAAACUAUGACUAGUGGUGCUAUUCUAUGCUCCUACUGAUAUUAUUUUUAUCUCUUCAGGCAAGGAGAAGGUGGGGUCGAACUCCUACCCCUGGCCGCUACCUUGGGAUGAGAUCCGCACAUGGUAAGCUGCCUGCCAUUAUCUAGAGUCAUCCUCCCUCUUCUUUUAAGGUAAAAUGUAUGGAUGGUCCAUGUACUACACCGAUAUUGUGACGUAGUUCCUGGACUAGAACAGCUUAGUUCCUAAACUUUCCCAUGUAUUGCAAUUCCAUUGCUGACUAUUGAAAGUAAAUAUGACAUCCAGGGACUUCUUGUUUGCAAACGAUCAUUUUAGCUAUGUUCCAAGUAAAGCGAAACAAAGGAUAAAAUUUUAUGUAGAAACAAGCAUUGUGUGAUUGAGUAAUAAAUUCACAAUAUGGGAUUACUAUCCUUAUAUUCAAACCCUUUUGUAUAAUGCCAUUAUACUUUUUUGGCUCAACAUCUAGUUGUUUUGUUUUGAUAUGCCAGGACGGCGUCAUUCCCCAAGCUACUCGCCCCAUUGGAGGGGCCGUUAUCGCUCUCCCUACUCGUCCGAUAGGGACAGAUCCUACUCUCCUUACUAUAGGAGGCGGUCCUACUCUCCAUAUGACCGGCGGCGAUCUUAUUCUUCUUUCUAUAAUUGUUACCGAUACCGUUCACAGUCUCCAUACGGCCGCUACAGUCGUUCACCUGUCUAUCAUCGAGGACGAAGGUCGAGAUCCUACUCCUGUGACUCGAGGUCUUGUUCUCCUGACUAUUCUGUUUCACCCUACUAUUGUCGGCGUUACUACCGAUCAAUCUCUCGCUCACCUAGUGCUUCAAGAGUGAGGAGCUACUCUCGCAGCUUCUCUCCUCACAGGAGGAGUUUGAGGAGGAGCUACUCUUGCAGCUUCUCGCCUCCUAGGAGGAGUUUGAGAAGGAGCUACUCUCGCAGCUUCUCUCCUAGGAGGAGUUCGAUGAGGAGUUACUCUCGCAGCUUCUCUCCUCCUAGGAGGAGUUCGAUGAGGAGUUACUCUCGCAGCUUCUCUCCUCCUAGGAAGAGUUCGAUGAGGAGUUACUCUCAAAGCAUCUCUCCUCCUAGGAAGAGUUUGAGGAGCUACUCUCGCAGUUACUUUCCUAGGGGGUCAAGAUUGAGGAGGAACUAUUCUCGUAGCUGUUCGCCUAGGUACAGAUCUAAGAGGAGCCUACCGUGCAGCAGGUCUCCAAGCAGAGGGAGGAGGUAUUCAAGGGAAAGUUACUCUCAUAGUCGGAGUGCAAGCUCUGACUCACGGAGCUACAGUUCGGUCUCUUAGAUCGGCUGCGAGGUAAUCUUAGACAUAACACUGCUGGUUGAAUCCCUUGGACUGUUUAGAGCAACUUGAAUCCAUUUAUUAUUUAUGUGUAGCUUUUUCUUUUGUAUGUGUAGCUUGUUCUCUGGGACUGUUUAGAGAAACUUGAAUCCAUUUAUUAUUUAUGUGUAGCUUUUUCUUUUGUAUGUGUAGCUUGUUCUCUGGGACAGUUACUUCUAUUUGACUGUUAUGCUUCCUGCCGUCUUUUUUUUUUAAACGUGUGUGGGUGUUGCUGUGUGGGUGUUGCGCUAGGGAAGGUUGGUAUUAUUGUGUGUUUGUUAGUUCACACUAGGGUGUUCUUGGUUGUGUUGGUUGUUUCCAUUUGUGUCUAAUUAGUAUGUCCUAUAUUGUAGUUUGUACAAAGUUUUUCUGUUUUGCCUAGGAAGUUUUUGACAUGGCCCAUGAUAGGAAGUCCAUGGACCUGGUAGUUUGUCGGUGCUAUCGAAACUAGCUAAAUCUCUAUAUAGGUUUCUGAAAUGCGAUGCAUAUUAGAAGAAUAGUUUUGAGAGGGGGCGUUGACCUGCUAGUUAGUUGUGCUAUUGGAACAAGCUUAAGCUAUAUAAGUUGGUCAUCUUUUCUCUUUUCCUUUGUUUGUCAUCUGGAAUUUGUGCUUCACUUUUAUACAGUGCUUUCACUUUGGUGCUACCAAACAAAAGUUUUCAGAUAAACCCUACCAUGUUGCGUUGUAGGAUUGUGCUCUUGCUUAACGGAUUUCAGGAUUUUAGUAUCUGUACGGUGAAGUUUUGAUAUGAGAAAUUUUCUGUUAAUCCAGCGGCUACUGCUACUAUUGAAGGUUUGUGUUUAAUUAUUCUUUCCCUAUUGUAAUGUUUCGUGAAGGAGUUGAGAAAUUCCGUGUGGGUGGGAAUCACGCAUCUUUCAUAAAAGCAGCACAUUGGCUGCUUUAACUGGCUUGUGCGGUUAGGGUCCGUUGAAACACUGGAAUACGCUGCAUUUGGCCGCGGAGCAGACGAAGAAUUUAAUGGCGUGAGACGGUAGGAAGGUGAGCAGCUGUCUUUGUCAGUACUCUGAAACUUACUUCUAGGACGGCUCUUGUGGUGGGAUGAGAGUGGAGGAAUAGUUUUGAGUUUGAAUUUGUGUCUCCCUCUACCCCCUUGGGGAAUCGCGGUCUCCUUUAUGAAUUCCAUCAUUGUAAAUACCUAUCGGGCUUGAUUUGGAGCGGUUGCAGUACUGUGGGACCUACGUGAACACGAGUUGUCUUUGUAAAUUUGAUUUAUUUAUUCCUGAAUUUGUUUGAUUCAAUUCCGCAUUAACUGUGCGAUGGCUUGUUUUGGGACGGGGCGGUGCGACUGGAAAGUACAAAAAGAAUUGCCUAUCCCCACAAUGGUGUGAAUUUGACACCCUAGAUUUCCAUUUAUGGAAAGAGUAGGUGAGGUGAGGACCCACCGCUGGUGCCGUGCUAUGCCGUUCUUUCUUUUGCGUCUGUUCUCAUUCAUUCUUUAUUGUGUGCCGUAGCUGUCGUUUGCAGCAGCAGCAGCUGCAGACCACCACCGAGAAGCCAACACUAAUUGCAUAUCAAUGAAUGAUUGGAACUUGUUAGUUUGUAUCCGAGAUCUCAAGUUCCAAUUUUUAUUGACUUAUAUUUUCAGCUAUAUUUAUUUUUAAAUGAAAUAAACAAAACGAUUAGCAUAUUUUCUAUCUCUAAAGAAACGAAUGAUUGAAACUAUAGCCCCUCGCGUCAAUAUAUAUACAGGUGAAAAUGAUCCAACAGCUAAAUUUGAUCGGCAAUUUAGGAAAAUAAAAAUCUCUCCUUAAGCGGUUAUGAGGCUUUUUUCUUUUAUUUUUUUUUUGAGAAAAUAUAGCAUACUACCGCUUCCUUGAUCUGAAAUUUACUGGUUUGAGAGCCGGCUCCCGUCCUAAUCAUCCCAUCAAUAAUAUUUACCGAUAAAACUAAUAGUGUAAUCCACCAACUAUUAUGUUGUACCUAGUGGGAUCACUGAUUCUGGGAGCAUUCGCGUGAACCCAGUUCCUAGAGAUGUAGCUAGAUAUUUCGUUUGCUCUCCCCGUUGUAUCCUUGUUAAGUUUUAAUUUAGGCAUGUUUCCUCACUUAAAGAGCACAUGUCAAACGCCAGUGGCACAAGUUACAAACGGGAGUGAAAAUUUGGAAUAGAUUCCCCUUGCCAAGGGCUUUUUACCAAGGGCAAGGAACCAAUCACAUGUCGCUGUUUUAAUAUGUAGGUUGCCAUUGGAGGGGUUGUAUUGGGAUCCAUGUGAGCUGCGACCUAAAGAAAACAACAAAGAGGGCACAUUUUUUUGCUUUGAUUAUUUCGCAUGAGGUGGACGGUGGACCCCAUUUGGAUGGAGCAGUAGAAUAAGCCAAAUUAAGCUCCCACGCCAACUUUUUAACAGACUAAUUAAACAAUAAGCCACAUCAUCACAGUUAAAAGAGUUUGACAGCCCCUUGGUAGGCCGCCCCGCCUCAUGCUGGCUGGAAGGGUCAUUAUUCGGGAGUAUUCUUAAUAACAGCUUUGACCCUUAAGUUUUCAAAAUAUUCACGUCACGUCCUUCAAUAAUUAUAUAUUUUACAAGUCGCUUUCGCAAAAGUGUUAAACUGGCCAUUAAUAUAUUACUUGUGACUUUCUCCUUUUCUUUUCUUGCUAUAACGUGUUAAGAUAUCUAAUUAAUACUAAAUGGAGCCGUUGUUCUGACCAUAAAGUUUCAUUUAUUAAAGCUCAUAACAUAGUAAACAGAUCAUAAAAAAUUUAUAGUAUAGUAUGGAUUGUACUUUCUUUUUUUCUUAAUUAGUGUCACUUUUGUACAAAGCUAAAAUUUUCAAGAAAAAUUAAAAAAACUCCAGAAACAAGAAUUCUUUUUAUGUAUAAAAAUAGAUAGAAUGAUUAAUUUUGUUGUUUAGCCCUCUUAGGUCGAGACCGACAUAGUUUACUCCGGAGUGAAUAGAGAUGCUUGUAAUAGAAACUGGAUUAAGAAUGGCAGUUUGAUUAUUUAGAUUUUUCUCUUUUUUGGUGGUCCGGCUUGUAUAUUAAACAAAGUGGCUGCAAACGCGAUCAAUGCCCAAUCACAGGUCGCCACGGUCCUUUUUCUACUUUGGAUCUCAGCGGGGGGAACUGACAAUAAAAAUAGCGAGGCAACCUUGGGGAAGGUACAGAUCAGGAGACUCAGAUAGAUACGUUCGUCGAGGCUCUUCCCUCUCCCCCGUUCCACUUUAGUAGUUCCUCAAGCUUAGAGAUAUAAGGUGAGAAUAAAAGUCUUAAUUCCUUUUAUUUAUUUAUUUAUUUAUUUAUUUUGUGUCGACGUCUUCGGUGAUCUGCUCCCUCUGUCUCCGUACUGUCUAGCCUGCUUUCGUUUUCCGUCUCCAUUCUUCUAUCAACGUUUUCCAGUCUAGUCUUUUUUCUGGGCUUGUAAUUGCUGGUUUUCAGAUCUGAUGGCUGCGGCCCGUAUAAAUCAUUGCUGUGCUCCAGUAAUUCUUAUCUGAGCGAAGUACUCCUCUUUAGAUUAUAGGAUUCUCUACUCAUCUUUAGAUAGUUGAGAAUAUUUGAUUGGCGGAGUUUUUUUGAUUUUUUUUUGGUUUGAGCUAUUCAUUUGAGCGACGAUUUAUUCCCACCAAUUCAGCGAAGAUAUUCUGGAUGAGAUUUGCAAUCUAAUCAUCAUCAAGAUGCCUCCUUUUCUGAUUUUCGAAGAUUACUCGUGCGUAUUUGCCAUUUGGAGCGGUGGAUAUUGUUCGGACAGAUUCCAGCUAUUACAGCUUCUUUGUCUCUAAACAAAUAUAAAUAUAAAGAUAUAUAUAUAUAUAUAUAUUGUAGAGGAGAGGAGUAACUUUACUUGUCUUCGUGCGCGACUGCCGGCAUAGUUAAGGCGUGGAUCAGAAGAUGGAGUCGUGGAUGGAAGUUCUCCCGCCGGCGGCGACGGAUCCGUUCCUCUGCAGCACAGUCGGUGGCUUCGGGCCGAGGAGGAGCUGCAGGUGGACGCGGGAGGAGAACAAGCUGUUCGAGGACGCGCUGGCGCGCUUUGAGGGGGACUCGCAGGACAAGUGGGAGAAAGUGGCGGCCGCGAUCCCGGGGAAGACGGUGGGGGACGUCGUGAGCCAUUACCGCAAUCUGGUUGCGGACGUGAGGCAGAUCGAAGCCGGCCUCGUGCCCUUCCCCGGCUACAAUUCUUCGGCGCCGCCUUUCACUCUGGAGUGGGAGAAGCAGCCGUACUCGUCAUGCCUCCUCGGUGUCGGAGGCAGGAGAUCUUCCUCUUCCUCUUCCUCGGGAAGGUCGUCUUCUGAUCAAGAGAGGAAGAAAGGAGUCCCCUGGACCGAAGAGGAGCACAGGUGAGCGAGCUGCCUUCUUUUCCAAAUUUUUUCACUUGUACAGACACAGAUAAGGGGCCUUCCUUUUCCAUGCAAAAUUAGAUAUCUUGACAUGCGACAUGCUCCUUCUUAAUUUGAUCGCAUCAGAGUUACUGAAAACUAGUCUACUAAUAGCUGCGGCUUGUUGCGUCCCUAACCACAGGGGGCAAAAUAAUUGAAUGCAAAGUCAUGAUAUUUGUAUUAUGCUAACUGUAAAUAAUGUACUUACUUUUUCAAUGUUAUCCGAUACGGAAUUAAAUGAAUAGUAGACUAUAAUUAAUGGAAAUUAUCACAUAUGCUUUAGGCCUUCGAACAGACUGAUUUGUUGCUACAGAGGACUUCUUUUUUUUUUAUGGUGCGUGUUGGCUUCUUCGUUGCUGUCUUUUUUUCUUUUCUUUUUUUAUGGUCUCAGACAAAUAGUGAAUACUGAUGAUAAGAAAAUGUUUCUUGAUUGGUUUUAGGCUGUUUUUAAUGGGUCUUCAAAAAUAUGGGAAGGGAGAUUGGAGAAGUAUAUCUCGGAAUUUCGUGAUGACUCGGACCCCAACCCAAGUGGCCAGCCAUGCUCAGAAGUAUUUCAUCCGGCUCAAUUCAGGUGGCAAGGACAAGAGGAGAUCGAGCAUACACGACAUCACAACCGUCAAUUUGCCAGACAGCAGGCCUCAAUCACCAUCUCAGCCAUCCAUUCUCGGCGCAAAAUCAAAUUUAGCAGCUCCACCUCCAAUGCCGGGCCACAUCUCACCUACAAUCGAUGCAAAUAAGCAACACCAUGAAGCAGCAAAUAAUGCCUUUAACUCCUGUGCUCAUACUACUAAUAAGUACUCCAUGCAACCAUCUUUUGGAGCAUCGCCGUAUGGGACGAAGCUACAUCCUCAAAUUUCCCAAUGUGGCCCUCUCAAUGACUCUAUGGUUGGCGACCACAGUAUGCUGUUUCAGAUGCAAUUCAGUCAGCCUCACUCUCAUGGAUAAGAAUAGGCCAAAUAUAUCUAUAUAUAUCAUAUUUAUAUGCAGUCUAUAUAUCCUUUUAGUUUUGAUCAAAGGAGAGGGAAGGAUUGUUUAAAAAUAAAAAGUAGGACUUUUCUCAAAAUUAAAAUGAAAGGUAAAAUUGUUUUAAUUGGGUGAUAUAGUCCCUUGUCUCCUCUGUAUAAUGUGCCACUCACAUAUACGGAUUGAGAGAGAGAGAACAACUAAAUGAACAUGAAAUUGUGGUUAAUUAUUUGUGCUUAGAAUGCAUGCUUCUGCUUGACCGGUCUUUGCUAUACUACUAUUGAGGCAUGAUUGAGUUGAAGACGCAUGUAUGUAUCAACGUAUGGGCUACUUCUGAAACCUUUUAAAUUGUGUAUAUAUAAUCUCUUUACCUAGCCGGAAGUUUUCAUCAACUUUUAAACGUGCAAUGCCUGCGAAUAUCACUAUGAUCGUAUUGUGUAUCCAUGUUUACAUUUCCGAAAUUUAACCUUUUAUUUAUGCUUUUCUCCAGUUAGAGAAUUCUGCUGCAUGUCAACUUCACUUUUAUAACUUGUAAAAGCCUAUAUUUAUGUAUAUAGUUAUGAGUUCUAUGAUCUUUGGCUUUAGUCAAUCAAGUUUCUGUACAACCUCUGUUAAUAAUGCUAGGCCACUAAACAAUAGUUGGAGAUGAGUUGGACUUCCACUAGCUGGGCAUCUCAUGUAUACUCUCUCUCUCUCUCUCUCUCUCUUUGGGAGGAACGUAAAUAGUGAACAAAUCCUUAACGAAUUCCAGGACGUCAUAGAAUCGAGGAGCAACUCCUGUCUAAGCCAGCCAACUUGUGUACGUUCCUCUUUUCUUCAUGCAAAGUUACUCAUUUAAGGUGUGCAUACUAUUACACAAAAUGUGUGCUGCAUGUGGAACCUUUAAAUGUGAUAGUGUUGACAGAUGCAGUUUACAUUUGAGAAGGGAAAUGUGCAUAUAUACUCUGGGUAGCACAAAAUUUAACUUCACAGUCUCCAAGUAAUAGCAGAAACUUGUUUCCUUCCGCCAGUGCUAUUCUUAAGUUUACACAGUUUUGUCUCAAAAGCGAGUUAAAAGCAAGCGACGGCACUCAUACACUAGCAUUUAUAAAAUUCUCCUUAAUUACCUUUUAUUAACAUUCUUAGUGGUAUUAUCUGCUAAACAUUUGUUUCUUUCUCUCGUGGAUUUGGUUGGGUUCAAGAGUGAUUAUAAUAAGUUAGCAUCUUGCACGAAGCCAACCUAUCUCUGCUCUGCAGCAUGGGUUUAAGCGGGUGAUGUGUUUCCCACUUGUUUUAUAGAGAGUAGAUAUUCACCAUGCUGAGAAUUGUUAAUGUACUAACCCAACUGUUUGAUUCACAAGCGAGCAAAAACAAAAGGUUUCUGCUGCUGCUGUGGCUGCAACUAUAAAUCAUGCAAAAGCAAACCAUAUUUAAAAAAAAUAAAAAUCGUUUUGAUGCGAAGAGAGGAUCAAUUAGUAUAUUUGCAUAAUUAUCUUCGAAUUAAGUUUAGGGUCGGCUCAGAGAGAUAAUAUAUAGGGCGCACCCCGUAUAGCAAGGAUUUAAGUGCCGUGGCACAGGAUCGUGCCGGAAACUUGCCGGCACGGUACGGCACGGUGCGUGCCGAGUCGUGCCGAUACAUGCCGGUCAAAAAAAUUCUUGUGUGCUGACACAUAAGAGCAUGAAAUAUUUAUUUUCUUUAGCAACAAAAUAUUCUAACUAUUUAUUAUGUCUUUUUAUUACAUUUUUUGAACUUUAUUGAGGAAAUUACUUGCUAAUUUAAAGAAUAGAGGGUUUUGAGCUGUGCUAUCGGCACGGGGUUUGUAUCGUGCCGGUAUCUUGUUGGCACGGUACGGCACGGUGGAUACGGCCCGUACCAACGGGCACUUAAAACCUUGCCGUAUAGACAGUAAGCCCCACCUGCAGGCUGCAGGUGCAACUGUGCAAAUUAACAAUGCCGGCCCCGCCUGCAGGAGGGAGAAGUAGAAAACUAGAAUCAAAUGCAACACGAGCCCAUGACCGUGAGUGGUGGCCCUCCUCCAAACUUUGUUCUGGUAAAUGACAAAACUAUUUGCUUUCUUCCGGAAGGAUGCGGCACCUUUUUCUGCAAGUUGCACAAGGAGCAUCGAUGCUCCCUUAGACAAUAUCGGUCCAACAUCUACCUACCUUUGAGCAUCUAUCAAUGUCCUCCCAGCGCCGAUGGCCCCCGUACCAUUGUGUUAACUAUAAAAAUAUUUAUACAUCCUUUUCUCACAAUUUAAGCUCUUUUAAAGUACGAUGAUUAUUUUAUAUUAUUUCACACAUUGAACGAUGGUACCUCGAUCGUGUAGAACGCAGGCACGCCUAAACAUCGCUCCAAUGCAUGUAAUAUCAUGAACGCUAAAAUUCACCGCGGAGAAUAUCUUCCACGGAGAACUAUUUGACUAGUACCGUUACAUUGAUUACGCUCGCGACUAUCACACCGUUACAUUGAUUACGCUCGCGACUAUCACCCAACAGGUUUAUCCUGGUAAGCAAGCAUCAUAUCAUUUUAGAUUUGCCAUGUCACUUUUUCUUAAAAACAGAGAAGAAUGAUUGUUAUCGAUAGUCACUGCAGAUGUAAUAAUUACUUAAAAUCUGCAAAGUAGAUAGCAUCAAAGGCAAUUCACGAGAAAGUUAGUAUAAUAAAAACAAUUAUCUGUAUCCUCUUAGAUUCAAUAGAUUUGGCGUGAAUCGUAGCGAGCGAUGGCUGCUGCUGCUGUUGCCGCUGAGUCGCGCCUGGGGAAUGUGCCGGUGGUUGAAGGCCCAGUGCGGCAUUUGGGCCUCUGGGUGGAGUGCACGGACCCAGUAAUGUUUGGGGAUCAAGGCACGUCGUGGGGCGAGCCCUGCUUCAUCAUGCUGUUGCUUGGCCCACUCGGCCCAGAAACAACGGCCUGUUCCUCCCUGACGGGCGGGCCCCACGAACUCCGGAUGGACAAUGAUGAAUCGGUGGAAGGAGCCAUACAAGUAUACAACUCUCCGUGCGAUUGGUAGUUGGCUUUAUUAAGUUUCUGCGACAGUGACGCUCUGAUCCGUUGUAUCAUGAUAUUGGUUUCUUUUUUUUUUUUUUCCCCCAUCCUUUGACAUUUACUUUUCUCUGAUGUUUAUAACUUUAUGUGUUAUUAUUUUUCCAUGGAAUUCGGGGUAUACAUCCAGUUUGCUUAAUGAAAUCAAGUUUAUGUUGCGUCAUGAUAUAAUUUUCAUCCCUUUUCUUGCUGUCCAAGUUUUAGGUCUUGAAUUUAAGAUAGAAUUACUGUAUAUUUCAACACAACUUACCUAAUUUUAUAAUAAAACUAUCAUGUUGAAAAUUCAUUAUUUAUUUUUGUGUACAUUUGUAUAAAUAUAUAAAAUUUUAACAGUAUCGUUUUCUAACCUAUAGCAAGUGACAAAAGGUUUGGUCGUUAGUAUCCGAGAUUCAAAUUUAAAUCCUAAUUGAUUCACAUUUCCAGCUAAGUUUAUUUCUAAAUAAAAUAAACAAAACGAGUAGCGUACUAUCUAUCUCUAAAAAAAAAAAAAAAAUCAAAAUUUCAGAUAAAAGAUUUUACUUGCAUUUUGGAAAAAAAUCUAAACUUGGCAAGCCGACCAUAAGCGAGCCGUAGUUUGUAAGUAGUACGGUUCAAACUCAACUCUAUCACGACCCACGACGAAGCCUCUCUCCCAACCCCACCCUCUCCCUCUCUCUCUCUUCUCUCUCUCUCUCUCUCUCUCUCUCUCUCUCGCACGACUCGCAUCGCCGUUAAGUCCAUGAGCGUCCCGCUCUGUCCGUUCCAUUCGUCGUCCUCUUCUUCUUGCGCUGUUCUCCUCUCAAUUUUCUCAAUACUCUAAGCAAGUGAGGAUCGGUACUCGGCUUUACUUCUUCUUUUUCUUUUUUUUUGCGGUAAUUCAGUAGAUCUAGUCAGUUAUUUUCGUUUUUUUGUUUAUUUUUUCUGGAGGUGAUAGUCUUAAUCUAUUAUCAGCUUGCUUUCUUUGCUUUGCUAGAUAUCUUUGGGAAGAGGCGGUUCUUCGCGAGGUGCUUUUCUAUGUAAUCCUUAGGAUAAAGUUGCUUCUUAGUUAAAGUUCUUUUGAUCUUCUUUAAAAUAGCUUUCUCGUCUCAGUGUACUCGAAGUGAGAAGCCUAAGAAGAUCAUUCCAUAGAAAAGUGUUGUUGGAUGUCAGAGUUUUAUUUGGCUGCUACCGUAUGAGAGAUUUUAGGCAGGGAAGUGUUCGAGCGAGAAGUUUUCGGACUAAAUUGAAAUUUCGGGCAGACAGUUACUAAUCAUCAAUUUACCCUUUUUUUGGUUCUUUAUUUGGCAAAGGUGAAUAUGGUAAAAGCAGAUUAAAGGUUAUGUGAAACAUCUAAGAAGGCUCAAGGGAGUUAGCUUUGUUAAUUUUAUUGAAAGAGGAUUAAUAUUAUUUAAAAUAAUAUUUUAUUGAAUCAAUAUUAUUGACAGGAGGAUUAGUACGAAUGAGAAUUAAUAUUAUUGACAUGAGGAUCAUAAGGUUUGGAGGUAUAUUAUCAGUGUAACAAGAGCUACCAAAAGAGGGUUGAGAAGAAGAUGCUAAAUGCGCUUGCUUAUAAGAAUGGUAUAGAUUAAUUUUCUACUGUAGUAAAAAUGUAUUAUAUGGCCAUUAUGUAAUAAUUAUUACUAAUCACUAUUACUAAUCUGUUAUAGCCACGAUGUUAAUUGAUAAAACUACAGGGUUACAUCUUAUGGAAUCAGAUAUAAAACUUUUAAGUUAAGGAAAUUACACGUGAAAUUAUACUAAUAUAUAAUGUAGGUAACAUGUUAUGCAUCAUACUAGUACUUUGUAAGAUAGCGUUCAUUUGGGGGAUAGCAUGGGUAUAGUGGUAGUUUUACCAUCUGGGUGGCAAUUGGUUAUAUUUGAAUUGGGAAUUGGGUAGGAAAAUUAUCAGUAGCGUAGCCCCGGCCCUCGGCCUCCGGCCCUGAGGAUUGCAAUUCCCUUGGUUAUGGUGUACCUGAGAUAUCUACAUGAUUAAGCGACUAUCUGAGGUGACAAACCAAACACAAUGGGGGUAGCAUUUAGAACUUGAAUUCCUCUAAGGAUAUUUACUAUUCCCGACAUAGAUAUUCCUUAAGCAAACACUACCUUAGAGUCUAUUUGGAUGCUACAAUAACUUAUCAGUCAUAUAUCCUGUGCUGUACUCAAGAGUAGUUUGUUUGGCAAUUAUUGAGAGACAAAAAGACAUCUCUAUUGAUCAAGAAAAGGACAAGUUAUCCCAAUUUUGAUUUUUAUGAUAAGUUUUUCAUAGGUGGUAUAUAUCUUCAAAUAUCAUGAUACUAAAGUCAAACUUCAUGUCAUAAUUACAAAAGAAGAGCCCUAACCAAGGUGACCAGUGCCCAGAUAACCUGUUCUAACAUCUAAACAGGCCAUUAGGACUUAUCUGGAUGCUAGGAUAACUUAUGCUCCAUAUUUCCUCUCCUUUACUUUAGGACCAUUUAUUUCUUGGUUGUUUGGAACUUUGGAUGCAAUAAAAGAUGUUUCAAAGUAAGGAGUAGUAAGGAGUAAUUAAUCUCUUUGUUUAUGAAUAUUAUAAAUCAUCUCACCAGGUUCAAUUUCGGAGGAAAAAAAAAAGCAAAUGCUAAAUCAUCUCUGAGGUGAAGUACACACCAUCUGAAAUCAUGAUUUUGGGAUCUUUGCAUUGGAUUGUAAUUUUCAAAAAACUAUUUCCAUCCAGCAAAAGUUCCCACCAUAUAACUUGUUCUAACAUCCAAACAAACCCUCAAUAUGUGCUGAUCAAAAGCGAAUUUAGCUUGUACUGAGAAGGAUAAAUUGCAUUAUUAGUCAAUAACUAAUUGCUUGAGUUUCACUGUGGCCCCUAAACUUUGAUCCCUCACAUUAAGGGAGCAAAAAACGAGCCCCCUCAUGCAGCAACAGAUUAAACUCGAGCCCCCUAAUGUGACUAAUUAAAGUUGAGGGACAAAAGUCAUACUUGGCAAAUUGUUUAGGAACACAAUAAUAAUUUCUCCUAUCUAAAAUUUUGUAUAUUUAUCCCGACAAUCUAACACUUCCAAUGAAGUUCUUAACUGUUGUUUAUUUAGGUAAGUCCCAUAGCUUUAAUGUUAUUUAUAUGGAGUGGAAUGUUUAAAUAUAUUAUCAGUAGCUUGUGCUAUUGACCAGCUUAACUGCAGACCUCACUAACAGCUCAUUUACUUGUAGGAGUUAUGUUUGUUACCAUGACACGUCAACUAUAACUAGAAAGUAACGGAUAUGAUGAGGAUAUGAUGCUUGAAUAUUUAGGCUACUUUUCACACACCUUUGAAUGCAAGUUCUUGCUAAGCCGAUCACUUGGAUAUUCUUAUGGUCCUACAUGUAUGCAUGUUGAUGUGAAAAAUUUCAUGUCAUUCUCUCACUCUAUAAACAAUUUCUCGGAUUAAAUAAUUUAUUUUCUAUUUAAACUUUUAACUCCCUUUGUAUGGAAUCUCUAGAGGAGACUGGAAUUGAUUGUCUCUACAUUUCUUGUUUGCAACAUUUUGUGCGCACCUAACAUGUUUCGUCAGCAGGUGGCUAUGGAGACAAAAGCAGCUGUAUACCAUGAGAAGCAGAGGUUGCAGUUUUGCCUGCUGCAUGCACUCAAUAACCUUAUGCAGGUUGUAUUAGUUUUUAUUUUUUUCUCUUUUAUCAUUUAGUCUAGAAGUUUUCUUUUCUUUUAUCAACUACAUGCAUCUUAAAAAUAUAUGGAUUUAGAUUGUCCAGCAUUAUAUAUUAUAGUGUAACCUUUACUUUUCAUGCACUAAAUUUAAUAUUGUUCUCCUUCAGUAAGCUUUCUUGCUUCCGUCGGAACAUGAGGAAUCUUAUAUGAUUUUCACUAGCUGUUCGAUUUUUCAGUUCUUGUAGCUCUUCGAGAAGGGGCCGUCUUCCUUUUUUAAGAGUGUUUAGAAAAGCAUGAGAGUCUUCUACAUGGGUUGAUAAUAUUUUUAUGGUUCAGGCGAAGGACUCUUUCACCCGAGCAGAACUUGAUGUUAUUGCUGACAAGCUUGUUCUUGAUGAUCCGAGCAAGGAGCAGUGGACUCCUCUAUCGCUAAUCUUUAGGCCUCACCAUAA
rnacentral:lncRNA from 1 species